rnacentral:tRNA from 2 species
GGCGACGUACCCAAGUUGGUAAGGGACGGCUCUGCAAAAGCCUCAUUCCUCAGUUCGAGUCUGAGCGUUGCCUCGA